rnacentral:lncRNA from 1 species
CAACAAUGCUCUGGAAGUCCAAGGGCAGGAGAAGAAGAGCAUCCCACCCUACUGCUGAAUCUUCUAGUGAGCAGGGGGCUAGUGAAGCCGACAUUGACAGUGAUAGUGGUUACUGCAGUCCCAAACACAGCAACAACCAGCCUGCAGCAGGGGCUUUGAGAAAUCCUGAUUCUGGGACCAUGAAUGUAUCAUGUGGAAUCAUCUAUGUGUGCAGGUGGUGUAAAUUGGUCCAAUGUAACUUGCCAGGCAACUCAGAAAAAACCUUGGAUGGAAAAAAAUCAGACAUUUUCUAGAGGUGGAAGGCAAACUGAACAAAGAAAUAAUUCACAGGAUGAAGAUGGGUUUCAAGAACUAAAUGAGAAUGGAAAUGCUAAGGAUGAGAAUAUUCAACAAAAACUUUCUUCUAAAGUAUUGGAUGAUUUACCUGAAAACUCACCAAUCAAUAUAGUUCAGACUCCAAUUCCUAUUACCACCUCAGUUCCCAAACGUGCAAAAAGUCAGAAGAAGAAAGCUUUAGCAGCAGCCCUUGCCACAGCUCAAGAGUAUUCAGAAAUAAGUAUGGAGCAAAAAAAAUUACAGGAAGCUUUAUCAAAAGCAGCUGGAAAAAAGAAUAAAACACCUGUGCAGCUAGAUUUAGGGGACAUGUUAGCUGCUCUGGAAAAACAACAGCAAGCAAUGAAAGCACGGCAAAUUACUAACACCAGACCUCUGUCAUAUACAGUGGUUACUGCAGCUUCUUUUCACACUAAAGACUCUACUAAUAGAAAACCUUUAACCAAAAGUCAGCCCUGUUUGACAUCCUUUAAUUCUGUGGACAUUGCUUCUUCUAAAGC